rnacentral:tRNA from 1 species
AGUAUUAUGUCUGAAAAAGAAAUAAAUUGUAAAUUUAUUAAUAAAGAUUAUAAUUCUUUUAAUACUA